rnacentral:rRNA from 1 species
AGCACGUUAUGGUGGGCGACUCUAAGGAGACUGCCGGUGACAAACCGAGGAAGGUGGGGAGUGACGUCAAGUCAUCAUGGCCCUUACGGCCUGGGCUACACACGUGCUACAAUGGUCGGUACAAAGGGUUGCCAAGCCGCGAGGUGGAGCUAAUCCCAUAAAACCGAUCGUAGUCCGGAUCGCAGUCUGCAACUCGACUGCGUGAAGUCGGAAUCGCUAGUAAUCAUGAAUCAGAAUGUCACGGUGAAUACGUUCCCGGGCCUU